rnacentral:tRNA from 1 species
GGCGCCUUCGUCUAGGGGUUAGGACGCGGCUCUCUCACGGCUGAAACACGGGUUCGAUUCCCGUAGGCGCUA